AUGGACAUCUACAGUAGACAUGGAGGCAUCAUCUUCGAUGAGAAGAAGUUGGCUGAGCAUUUCAACGUCAGUGCAGCAGGGACAGUGGAAGGCUUCGUUGACCUCGGAAAGUUCACCCAGGAGGAAGAUCGGACGACUCCAGCCGACCAUGGGAUGGUGAUGAUGUUUCAACCUUUUCAAGGUGACUGGACACAGAUAUUGGGAGUGUUUUCAUCCAAAGGG